GGGCUUGACAUCCCACGAACCUGCCUGAAAGGGCGGGGUGCCCGCAAGGGAGCGUGGAGACAGGUGGUGCAUGGCUGUCGUCAGCUCGUGUCGUGAGAUGUUGGGUUAAGUCCCGCAACGAGCGCAACCCUCACCCCUGGUUGCCACCGGGUAAAGCUGAGCACUCGAGGGGAACUGCCAGCGUCAAGCUGGAGGAAGGCGGGGAUGACGUCAAGUCAUCAUGCCCCUUACGCCCUGGGCUACACACGUGCUACAAUGGCCGGUACAAAGGGACGCGAGACCGCGAGGUGGAGCCAAUCCCAAAAAACCGGUCUAAGUUCAGAUUGCAGUCUGCAACUCGACUGCAUGAAGGAGGAAUCGCUAGUAAUCGCGCAUCAGCACGGCGCGGUGAAUACGUUCCCGGGCCUUGUACACACCGCCCGUCACACCACGAAAGCUGUCUGUACUCGAAGUCGCUGAG
rnacentral:rRNA from 1 species